CACCCCAGUUCAAAUAACCCUCAGCACCCCUGUCCUUCAUGUUCUUACUAGCAUGACUCAUUAAGUCCCACUUAAACCAUUUGACUGCUUUUCUAAUCUUAAGUCCUAGAGUCCACAUCCUUCCAAACAAAAACAUGGUCAGGCCCAUCAGACCAAUACCUCGGUCCCUGGUAACAACUUCUGUCUUGUUAGGCUUUCACUGCUGUGAAGAGACAGCAUAUGGCAACUCUUAUAAAGGAAAACAUUUAUGGGGGCUGGCUUACAGUUUUCAGAGGUUUAGUCUAUUGUCAUCAUGGUGGGAAGGAUGGCGGCAUGUAGGCAGAUAUGGUUCUGGAGAAGGAUCUAAAAAGUUCUACAUCUUGAUAUACAGGCAGCAGAAGGGGACUGUGUACCCCACUAGGUAUAAUUUGAGCAUAAGGAGACCUCAAAGUCCAUUCCCACAAUUACAUACUUCCUCCAACAUGAGGAUACAGACUCCAAGCCCACAUUUCCUAAUAGUGCAACACCCUCUGGGCCAAGCAUUCAAACACAUGAGUCUGUGGGGGCCACACCUAUUCAAACCACCACAGGGGUCCAUGUUACCUUUCUGUCUGAGCCAGAUAGAAGUCAUCUUCAAGAAACAGCUACAAGGCUAUGAGACAGGCUCAUUAUAUAUCAAGAUUAUAUUUUAUAUAGUUUAAGUUUUUUUUGCAAUUGGAAUAUAUUUUAUAUUCAAUGAAACCUAUAAAGCCUUUAGUUUACUCAGCGGUAUGACGUCAUUAUUUUCUGAACCCUCUUUCAUGAAAAAGUGAAGCUUCCAAGUUGGGAAGUAGCUUGAGCAUAUAGUCAGAAGAGGAGAGAGCACAGCUGAAACUUGUCAGGCUUUCUCUUCUAGGAGACAGAGAAGGAGGAGGUGGAACCCUAUUAAGUGUAACACCAGAAAAGGCAGGUGGGGUAGAAUGGGAGGUCAUGAUGGGGCAAGGAUGCAGGUGGGCACCCCAGUUCUGCUAACCAUUGUUC
rnacentral:lncRNA from 1 species